UAGGGUGUAGUUCAGUGGUAGAACUCUUGCUUAGCACAAGCAAGGCCCUGGAUUCAAUAUCCAGCACACAAA
rnacentral:tRNA from 1 species